UACGUAGGGUGCGAGCGUUGUCCGGAAUUAUUGGGCGUAAAGGGCUCGUAGGCGGUUUGUCGCGUCGGGAGUGAAAUCCACUGGCUUAACUGGUGGCUUGCUUUCGAUACGGGCAGACUGGAGGUAUGCAGGGGAGAACGGAAUUCCUGGUGUAGCGGUGAAAUGCGCAGAUAUCAAGUGGAACACCAGUGGCGAAGGCGAGUUCCUGGACACUUCCUGACACUGAGGCACGAAAGCUAGGGGAGCAAACAGG
rnacentral:rRNA from 1 species